rnacentral:rRNA from 1 species
UACAGAGGGGGCGAGCGUUGUUCGGAAUUACUGGGCGUAAAGGGCGCGUAGGCGGCCUUCUAAGUCGAACGUGAAAUCCCCGGGCUCAACCCGGGAACUGCGUCCGAUACUGGGAGGCUUGAAUCCGGGAGAGGGAUGUGGAAUUCCAGGUGUAGCGGUGAAAUGCGUAGAUAUCUGGAGGAACACCGGUGGCGAAGGCGGCCCGCUGGGCAGGAAGACACCGCAAGGUGGUCGGCUGACGCUGAGGCGCGACAGCGUGGGGGAGCAAACAGG